UACGGGGGGAGCAAGCGUUGUUCGGAUUUACUGGGCGUAAAGGGCGCGUAGGCGGUCAGCACAAGUCAGUUGUGAAAUCUCCGGGCUUAACUCGGAAAGGUCAACUGAUACUGUGCGACUAGAGUGCAGAAGGGGCAACUGGAAUUCUCGGUGUAGCGGUGAAAUGCGCAGAUAUCAGGAAGAACACCCGUGGCGAAAGCGGCUCUCUGGAACGGUACUGACGCUGAGACGCGAAAGCGUGGGGAGCGAACAGG
rnacentral:rRNA from 1 species